AACUUUUGGCAACGGAUCUCUUGGCUCUCGCAUCGAUGAAGAACGCAGCGAAAUGCGAUAAGCAAUGUGCAUUGCAGAAUUCAGUGAAUCAUCGAAUCUUUGAACGCACCUUGCGCCCUUUGGCCAUUCCGAAGGGCAUGCCUGUUUGAGUAUCAUGAACACCUCAACUCUUCAUGGUUUUUCUGCGAUGAGCUUGGACUUUGGGGCCUUUGUUGGCCUAUGGGCGGCUCCUCUAAAAUGAAUCAGCUUGCCAGUGUUUGGUGGGCAUCACAGGUGUGAUAACUAUCUACGCUUGUGGUUUUCCACCAGGUAACCUUCAGCAAUGGAGGUUCACUGGAGCUCACAGAUGUCUCUCCUCGGUGAGGAUGACCCUUUGAAUGUUUGAUCUCAAAUCAGGUAGGACUACCCGCUGAACUUAAGCAUAUCAAUAAGCGGAGGCU
rnacentral:misc_RNA from 1 species